UUUUUUUUUUGCAAAACCUCUUCUAGGCCUCUUUUGUCAACGGAAAGAAGACUUUUUGCUCAAAGACUUUUUGUAGUUUAGAAGAUCACAGACGUCAAAAUUAAUGUAUGUGCAUCAUCUAUUCUUACAUGACUUGGACAGUCACUUUUAAGGUUUAACAAAAAAGUCUAACCUUGUACGCUUCUUCAACUACACGCCUCCAAAUUUAAUUUCAUGUUCAUGCCUCUGCUACUCUCGCAGACCAUUCCCUUCACCAGCCAUCCCCUUCAAUGACCUCCACAUCGGCGCUGCGUACAUCACCACCACCUCCUCCUCAUAAACAAUUCCUCCUCCAUUUAUCGUUGCUAUUAACUCAAGAAGGGUCGUUAAAAUCCGAGGAUUCAGGCCGCUGCCGCCGUCAUGACUCCGCCUUAGCUCUUUGCCACUUAUCUCUUGUUCUAAGAAACCGCUCAAUUCCGGUCAAACUAAUUAAGGGGGGGUUAUGGAAAAUUGGUGCAAAAAGAAUUAGAAGAACAAAGGCAGGUUGUUGAUUAUGGGGUUGGAUCAUUGGGAUCUUUUCAACCACCUCCCAUGGUUGCCAACUGUGAUUUGGGAAAUUGGCUAGGAUUAGGAUCACCAACAGAACCGCCGCCGCUACCCUAUCAGGUGAUCGACACUGCUGGUGAUCGACGUCGUUGUUGCUGAUGUGCAGUUGUACGAUCUAAAUCAACAGUAUAUGAUGAACCAAUAGAUCGAAAGGCGUUAACUGGGAAUUAAGUGGCGAGUCAACAAGAAAGGGAGACGGACCGAGAGGAAAGCCAACGAGGAUGUGAUUUUUGAUUAGGCUUUCCUUUCAAAGGCUUCAAAGAUGAGCGAUGAGGGUUGACUAUGGUGGAGGCGAUUUCCGGGGCGGAGGAGAGACUUGACGGUCAUUUAAGGCUUUGGGAGGAAAUUGUUCGCUUUGUGAAGAAUUUAGAGGGAAUGAGAAUAAAAAGAGGGAACAAGAAAAGAAAGAAAAGUGGGGGAUGAAAAAAAGGAGUCGUAGAUAUUCUGCGAGGGUUUGGCGAGGGUUAAGAAAAAAAGGCCUCUAAUUUUUGCAAUCGGUCGUUGUUCCCUCACUAGGAGGUUUUACUUCACGACGGUCUAGCGAGGGACGGUUUUUUAUCGAUAAAAUCUUGACAAUCCAUCGUUGAUCCCUCAGUAAUACCUUACUAAAAUACUAUAUUUAUUUUGAUCGAAAUAUUUGUUGGUAUCGUCGCUGAUCCCUCAGUAAAUUGUCACUAAUUAGCUACAGAUAGAAUCUGUCGCAAAUUCCAUCACUGUAGGUCAAGUUUCUAGUAGUGAUAAGAUGAUGAUCAAAAAAAAUACUAGUCAAAGUAACCAUGAGAGAGAGAGAGAGAGAGAGACAGAGAGAGCAGAGAGAGAGAGAGACAGAGAGAAUAAAAAUAAUUUUUAAAUUACAAAAGUAACAGAAAAAUCGACAAAGAGGUUCCUAGGGGUGUAAACGAGUCAAGCCGAGCCCGAGCCUGACCAAGCUCGAGUUCGGCUCGUUUAAUUUUAAGGAAGCUCGAGUUCGAGCUCGAUUCGAGCCUUAAAAUAAAGUUCAAGCUCGGCUCGUGAACAAUUUAGUGGGCCCGCGAGCCUAAUUGAGCCUAAAUGAGUAUAUAUAUAUAUAUAUAUAUAUAUAUAUAUAUAUAUAUAUAUAUAUAUAUAUAUAUAUAUAUAUAUGUGUGUGUGUGUGUGUGUGUGUGUGUAGGCUCGUUUUGGCUCACGAGCCUCAUAUUUAGGCUCGAGCUCGGCCCAGGCUCGUUUAAUUCGAUCUUGAGUCGAGCUUUUAACAAGUCGAUCCUGAGUAGCUCACGAGUAGUUCGGCUCACUUAUACCCCUAGGGGUUCCGACUUCCCUGAACGUUGCAACCACUUAAAUUUUAAAUUACGAUGUAAUUUUUUCGAAAAUCAACGUACCAACGCUAAAAUCAUGUGUCAACAUUGAGAUUAUGUCAUGUGUCCGCCAUGUAAGCAUCACAUGGACCACUUCAAUGGACUAAACUGUAAAGUGUAUAUUAUUUAUACAUGUAACCGGAUGACCUUCUCAUUUUUUAAAUAUAUUUUUUAAUAUAAACCGUAAUUUGAAAGUUUAAAGAGUCCCACACAAACAAAAAAAAUCAAUGGUUAUUUAAAAUAAAAAACAAAAGUUAGUUGGACUAAUAUAAUAUUAAUUUUAAUAUUUUAUUCUAAAAAUAAAAUAAAAUUGGAGAUGGUGUAAGCCAAAAUUUAAGUCAUAUCGUCUGCAAAUCUGUAUUACUUGGAGUUCUUAAUGAUGGAUUUUGAUCGUGGCCCGAAUUUGUUGGUAAAACCUAUUCAGGCCUUUCUUGUGUGUGUGUGUGCAUGCUCACGAGAGACUAAAAACACUUAUUUGAGAAACACGUAACAUCAUUUGGUUGAAGCACAUGUGUAACAUCAUUAUUUAUUAUUAUUAUUAUUAUUAUUAUUAUUAUUAUUACAGAACGGCUUUAGCAUCAUUUGAUGCCUCACUGGUGACGUAUUUAAUUUUAUAUUAAAUAACUGCAAUUGUAAAAUGACCUAGUGGACUAAAAUUAUGUAUAAAGAAUACAUCACAGGGAUAAGGGAUAAAGGUUGUAAUCUUAAUCUUAAUCUAAAAAUAAAGGUCGUGAUUUGUUUGAAGUUUUGAAAUGUCAAAAACGACAGUUUACUCGCCACUUUCCCAAGACCAAAAAAAUUACAAUAAUAACCCUUCCGCCCAUUGAAAAAUUUGGUUGAAUACCAUUACCUCUUCCAUGAUCUACCUUACCCACCCCAGUUAAUCCAUAUAUCCUAAAAAAUGAACACGGGUUUACAUCUUGUUUUGUUCAAAAACAACAUCCUACCAACAAAGUCAACAUACGACAAUGUCUAACAAACCUAUGUGCCACACCUUCUCCAUAUAUAUACCAUCAUCAUAAUAAGUUCAUAAAUCAUAACCCUCCAAAAACAUUCAUCAAAUUUACAUCCACAAAUAUCGACCACUACUUAUCAUCAACAAAAACAAUGGAAGGAUUAAUACCACUUCUGAUGCAUGCCGUGAAGAAGCACAGUCUUCACAACAGCUAUCGAGUCCUCUCCCUCUCCACUGGUUCAUCCCACCGCAUGACAAGGUUGGAGUUUCAGCCACCCACGGCGGAGUACUUGACUCAUAGAUCAGGGUUUGGUGUUGGUUCCCAAUCAAUGAGCUUCAAUAAAGGUUCCACCAGUUCAAUCCCAAAUACAUAUCAUGCAUCAAAGCUCAAGAGUAACUAAAGCAGAAGCAAGCAUUUUGAAUGAACAUUGAUUCCAAGAAAAAGAACUAUUUUGUUAAUUUGUAUAUAUACACAAUAUGCUUGUUGUCUGACCCUACAUGAGGUCCAAAAGAGGUGCAUCAUAAAUAAAUGGUUAAUGUAAUUAAUUAGCAUAUGUGUGUAAUCGAACCGAACUACUCAUGAUCAAUAGACUCGUUAAAAUCUCAACUUAAGAUUGUAUUAAAUGAGUCUCAGCCUAGCUCCGCCUUAUUAGUUAUCGGAUGUCAAGCCAAGCUUCAAUCAUUGAGCUUAGUUUUUAUUUUACAUACUGAAAUAAUUAUAAAAUUAAAGAUAUUAUAAAAUAUUAUAAAAUAUUAUAAUUCCAACUAAAUAGAUCUUAGUUUUUGCUUCUGUACGUUUCACAUUUGUAACCCACUUUCUAUCUAUCUAUGUAAACACAUAAACGCAUAGACUUACAGCGGUAGUUGAGAUAGAAAUCUUAUAUUUGGCGUAAUAUAACCCCGAGGGUUGGCUUUCAUUAUAUAUAACAUAAUUACAACUGAAGAUUCUAAUUAUAUGGAUCUGACAAUACAACAAUGUUUAUCUUGUAUUUAGAACAACCUAAUCAUCACGUUUAUUAUCUUUACAUUCCCCCUCAAUCUUGACCAUUACUAGGUUAAGAUUGUAACGCAAUUUCUCCAAAAUGCUCCGUGUUGUAGGCUUUGUGAGUCCAUCAGCAACUUGAUCAUUUGAAGAUAUAAAACGAACAUCCAAUGCCCCCAACGCUACCUUCUCUCUAACAAAAUGGAAAUCAACUUCUAUAUGCUUGGUUCGAGCAUGAAACACUGGAUUUGCUGUCAAAUAGGUAGCUCCCAAGUUGUCACACCAAAGAACCAGUGCUCGUGUCUGACAAACUCUUAACUCUUUAAGUAAAUGUUGUAUCCAGGUUGCUUCUGCAGUUCCAUUUGCCAAUGCCUUGUAUUAUGCUUCUGUACUAGAUUGUGACACGGUUGGUUGUUUUCGUGAGCUCCAUGAAAUGAGAUUAGGCCCUAAAAACACUGCAAAACCUCCAGUAGAUCUUCUAGAAUCCAGGCAUCCAGCCCAAUCUGCAUCAGUAAAAACACUCAACAAUGUGGAGCAGGACCUUUUUAUAUGGAGCCCUGUAGACAUCGUGUCUUUAACAUAUCGUAGUAUUCGUUUUACAACUUCCCAAUGAACAUCUGUAGGCUUAGAAAGAUAUUGACACACCUUAUUAACAGGAAAAGAAAGGUCCGGUCUUGUUAGGGUAAGGUACUGUAAACCGCCUACCAUACUUCUAUACUUGAAAGUAUCUUCUUCAUUCAAGAAUUUUCCAGAGUGUCAAUCUAGCUUAUCUGUGAGUAACAUUGGAGUUGAGACGCCUUUACAAUUCUCCAUAUUCAUACGAUGAAGUAAAUCAGAAGCAUAUUUGCGCUGUAGCAAAGUUAUUCCCCCUGAAUUGUGAAGGACCUCAAUUCCCAAGAAAUACUUCAAUCGCCCAAGGUCCUUGAUAGGAAACGAGAGAGCCAAAGCACGUAUUAACUUAUCUAUAGCUACUUGGGAGGAGCCAACAAUGAUAAUAUCAUCAACAUAGACAAGCAUAUAAAUGGAAACUACGUCAUUUAUAAGUAUAAAAAGAGACAUGUCAGCUUUAGAAGAGUGGAAACCAAGAUGAUGUAGCUUAUCACGAAGACGAGAGAACCAAGCCCGUGGCAAUUGCUUCAGUCAGUAAAGGGCCUUGUGAAGUUUACAGACAUAAUGAGGAGUGAAAGUAUCCUCAAAACCAGGUGGCUGUUGCAUAUAAACCUCCUCUUCUAAGAAACCAUGAAGGAAAGCAUUGUUGACAUCUAUUUGCCUUAGAUGCCAACCACGUGAGACAGCCAGAGAAAGGACUAGUCGUAUUGUUGCAGGUUUGACAACAGGGCUAAACGUGUCCUGAUAAACAAUCCCAUACUAUUGUGUGAAACCCCUUGCAACCAAGCGAGUUUUAUACUUAUCAAUAGAGCCAUCUGGAUUUUGCUUUAAUUUCAACACUCAUUUACACCCAACAAUAUUAACACCCUUGGGCCUGGGAACGAGAGACCAUGUUUUGUUUUGUUGUAAUGCCGAGAAUUCAGAAUUCAUGGCGGUUAACCAGGAAGGGUCUUUCAUAGCCACACGGUAAGAGGUAGGUGUAAUAGCUGCAAAAGCUCGUUUGGUGGGGUCAUAUCGAAGAGUGCCAUCCAGAAAUUUCUUUGGAAACGUCUUACCAGCUUGUCCUCGAGUGCGAACACCAACAGGAGACUCAUCUAAAGCAGCCAUAGGAAUGGGAAAAAUAGGUGCAGCUGGUGACUGAGCUUCUGGCUGCUGUAGCGGGGAUGACUCCAGAUCUGAAGGAGAUGUGCUUGAUAUCGACGGUGCUGCUGGUGAGUGAACCGGCAUGGGCUGAGCUGGUUGAGCAGGAGAGACCGGCACAUGUGGCUGCUCCAGAGAUAUACAUGGCAAUAAAGAUGAUUCCUGCACUGGUGAUGUCUUGUCUUGAGGUGGUGUCACAAUAACUGCAUCACAAUCAUUAGCUAACAAAACAGACAAGUCAUAGUUUCGCAUAUGAUCAUUUACAAUUGCCGGUUCAGUUUGAGGAAAGGAUACAGGAUCAGUUUCUGGAGAUGAGAUAACGGAAUUUGGAGUGGAAGCAAAAGGGAAACGAUGCUCAUCGAAGACAACAUCACGCAAUAUAUAGAUCCUACCGGUGGUUCUGUCCAGACACUUGUAACCUUUAUGGAUAGAACUGUACCCUAAGAAAACACACAGAGUUGAUCGAAAACUGAGCUUACGUGUAUUAUAUUUUCUUAAGUUGGGCCAACAUACACAACCAAAAACACGAAGAAAUGAAUAAUCAUGAUGAAUUUUUAAAAGUCGUGUAAUGGGUGUGGUAUUACCAAUAGUACGACCGGGCAUGCGAUUUAUUAAAUAACACGCCGUCAAGAAGGCUUCAUCCCAAAAACGAAGGGGGAGAGAUGAAUGUGCUAAAAGAGCAAGACCUGUUUCGACUAUGUGUCGGUGUUUUCGUUCGGCCACUCCGUUUUGAGGAGAUGUAUGUGGACAAGAAACCCGAUGAGUUAUGCCUAUUUUUUGAAAGUCUCGGUGCAAUUUAUGAUAUUCACCGCCCCAAUCAGACUGAACACAACGAUUUUUUGUGUUUAAGAGACGUUCUACAUGAUUCUGAAAAGUGUAAAAAACUUGCUCAACAUCAGAUUUGUGUUUGAUAAAAUAAAUCCAAGUGUAUCGGCUAUAGUCAUCCACAAAACUAACAUAAUAUUUAAAACCUCCACUGGACACUUGAGCAGGUCCCCAAACAUCAAUAUGCACUAGUUCAAGAGGAAAAGUAGAAACACGAACAGAAUUAUUAUAAGGAAGUUGAUGACUUUUAGCACGUUGACAAGCAUCACAAACAACUGACUCAUUAUGAAAAGAACGACCUAACUUAUUAGAAUUCAAAAUUGUCUUGACAAUUGUUGAAGUGGGAUGACCCAGACGCUUAUGCCAUUGAGGGGUGGAGACCUUGACACUUGACAGACCGUGAUGCUGCUGAAGACUUCUGAAACGACUUACAGGAAUGGGAUAGAGACCUCCUUUGCUUCUACCGAAUAGAAGAAUUUUCUUCGUGGCUAUGUCCUUAACAAAAAAAAACAUUAGGAUAAAGUUCAAUGAAAACACGAUUAUCAGAAGCGAGUCGUUGAGCAGACAAAAGAUGUUUACUAAUAUGAGGAACAUGUAGAACAUUUUUAAGAACAAGAGGUCUACUUAAACCGGGAAUUAUUGAAUGACCAAUAUGUGAAAUAGACAAACCUGCACCAUUUGCUACUUGCACUUGAUCUUUCCCUUGAUAAUGAUCUUGAACAGUAAGCCGAUCCAGGUCACUAGUCAGAUGAUCAGUUGCUCCGCAAUCUAAAAACCAAUUUGGAUCUUGAUUGUGUCUUCUUGCCAUCACACUGUUCCCACUAUGAUAGUCUUCAGAUUAAUAAGCAUGAGUAAAUCGGUUUCUGCAAGUGAGAGCCGUAUGACCUGGUAUGCCACAAACCUGGAAGCGUGGUCCUCCACAGUUCCGACCACGACCACGGCCACCUCCUCCUCUGUAGCUGCCCCGCUGAUUGAAAUUAUUAUUAUUACCAUUAUUGUUACUGUAACUGCGACGAGGUGCAUUGUUGUUGUUGGUUGAUACUUAUCGAGAAGCAGAGUUAGCAGAGGAUGUGAAUUCAACGGUGUUUCCUAUGGCAGUAGCUUGAGCUUCAUGCGCUAUUAAGUAGGAAUAAAAUUCAGGUAACGUUACCUUUCGCUCAUUGCUCAGGACGGUAAUUGCGGUAAACAAAUCACUAUGUCUGGGCCCUAGUCCUGCCAGCAUAUACACAAUCACUUCUUCAUCAUUCGUUGGCUGACCGAUAUUUGCCAUUGUAUCAGCAAAUCCGGUCAUUUUCUGAUAGUACUCAGCAGCAGUCAUGUCCCCCUUUCUUGUUGUUGAGAGCUAAGUGCGGAUUUGAAUUGAAUUACUGUGAUGCUGGGUAGAAAACAUUGUGUGGAGUGAUGUCCACAAUUGAUGGGCAGUGCUGGUACAUCGAAUAAGCUGAGGGAGGACUUCCUCAGUUAUGGAGGAUAACAGACCUACGAUCACAGCCUGAUCUUGGAUGACCCAUGUCUGGUAAUCAGGGUUAGGCGAUGUUUUAGCGGGUUCUGUUGCCUCUUUUUCGGCGGUGCUGGGUUCGGUGACCACUUUUUCUGGGGGAGCCGGUGUAGUGCCAUCGAGAUGGCCAAACAAUUGCACGCCUCGUAGAAUAGGGAUUACCUGAGCCUUCCAUUACAGAAAGUUGGUACGGGUCAAUUUGCAAGAUAUGGCGGUAGCAAUGGUUGAUGAUUUUACAAGUGCAGAAAUGAUGGGGAAUUGAAGAGAUACUCUUUGGAAGGAGACCAAAAGAGUCGGGAAUAAGGUUUCGCCGUUUCGGUACAGAGAGAUCAGAUGGAUCGUGGGCUCUGAUACCAAGAUAGAAAUCUUAUAUUUGGCGUAAUAUAACCCUGAGGGUUGGCUUUCAUUAUAUAUAACAUAAUUACAAAUGAAGAUCCUAAUUAUAUGGAUCUGAUAAUACAACAAUGUUUAUCUUGUAUUUAGAACAACCUAAUCAUCACGUUUAUUAUCUUUACAAGUUGGACGUCUUUCCGGUGAACUAUAUGUAAUCAUCAUGCACUACUAGAAAACAAACAAAUUACUACUACUACAAAAUGGGAAAAUUUCGACGGCCAGUCUGUCCGAAAUUGUCUUUUUCACCAAUGAAUUUGUAGAUUGUUCUUGUUCAUUGACAAAAGUACUUUUCCGUCACUAAUAAUUUUUGUGAUUUUUGUGGUGGAUUUCCGAUGGAUCAGUUUUGUGACGGAUUUCUGACAGAUAAAUAUUGCAACAACUUACCAACAAAUUUAUUUGGUGAGAAAUUACCUAUUGGUUUAUAUAACAGACAAACUGCUGUUUAAGUUACAGGUUUAUGACAUUUUUUUUUCAAACUAACAAUUUGUUAAUCAUAUAUUUUAAUUGUCAUCGUACAAUGAGUGAGAUGUCAAACGGGCAAUAAGUUGUGCCGCUAAGCCUUUUUGAAUGGUAAAGCUAAUUCUUUUAAAGACUACAUCCGAAGAUCUAGGAGAUAUAACAUUAUUAUGCAUGAUUCAUUGUACUCUUUUAAGAAGCUCUACCGCAUCCAGUGUGAGGAAAUCAAACGUAUCAAAUGCAAAUGGUAUGAACACGUGUUGAUCUUCCAUGCACGAUCUCUCAUGUUUGGUGACUUUGUCUGUAGGCCCACGAGAGGGGAUACCUCUGUAAGAUCCACACAUGCGUGUUUCCCUCCGACCCAUCCAAAAAUCUAAAUGUCAGUCGGUCUGAGGGUUGACCUUCCUUCUAUCAGGUCAGUCAAGAAAUUAACAGGUGCCUCUUUCAUUGCUAACCAGUGAACGAAAUUUCAUUACUAAUAUAUCGGCAAAGCAGCGGCAACAAAUACAUACUAGUGGUGUGCCCGCGCAAAGCAGCGGCAACAAAUAGUUUCCGGACGUUGAUUAAUUUAUUUCAGUGAAUAGUUUCCUUGCGGCUAUCAGAUCAAACCAUAAAAACCUUUAAGUAUAACCGAGUUACAAUAUUGAUAAUUCUUUCAUUUUUUCAAUCCUCAAACGUUGAUAAAUCCAUUUAUGCAUCAUUUUCUUGCAAAUUGCAAUUAAUCAUUCAUUCAUAAUGCUAACUUCUAAUAACCGUAACAUCUUAACUUGUAUUAGAACUUUGACCGGUUUGGUGGGUUGUACGGUUGUAAUAAUUCAAUCCGAUUUUUUAUUUUCAAUCUAUUUAAAGUUGUUUUGUAGUCUUAAAACCAUUUUAAUUUAUAAGGUUAACAUAAAUGUUUAUCCAUUUAUUUAUUUAUUAUAGUAUUUUACUUUUAUUUUUUUAUCAAUGUGUUUUUCAAUUUUUUUUUAUGAUUACCUCUCCGGAAAAUCAUAUGUUGUGAUGACAACCACUAAAAACAUAUCUCACCCGCAUUUAAGAUUUUCAAUCUACUAAAUAUACAAACACCAUGAUACAAUGGUUAUAGUUUGAUACCAAUUAUUGGUUUUAAAAUGCUUCAUUUUCUUCAAAAAAAAAUGUUUAUAAUAAACUAGAGAUCAUUUAAUUGAUGGAAUAGUAUGGUUUGAUUUAAUUUAUGUUUUAAUGGGGGAAGGUCGAAGAUAACAGUGCGUAAUUGGGAAGAUAAAGAAGGAAAGUCAUUUAAUUGAUAGAAGAGUAUGGUUUGAUUUAAUUUAUGAAGCAUUAAUGUUUAAUGUGAUUAAUUUCUGAAACGGAAAUGUAAUAUGUGUAUUAAAUGGUAAGCAUAAACUGAUUGUACAUGAUGUAGCAGGUAUGGUACCUCUUAAAUUUCAAGAAAUGUCUAAAAUGCUUUACAUAAUAGUAAAGAUAAUCCACUUCAACAAUUUCAACAAUUGAUAAUAAGCCUAAAUCUAAAACUUGUCCGCUACAUAUUCCAUAAACAUGGAUAUUUUCUAAUAAAACUACAAUGACAAGGGUGGAUUACUGCUUUGGAGGAAUCGUUUUAAAAGUUCAUUCGUUUGUUUAUGAAGUAGGACUUGCGGUUGGUGCGAUUCUUGUGUUGCCUUUCCUUCCCUUUCUAUACUAGCUUGCAUCUCUUUGUAUUCCAUUUCAAUACGGGCUGCAAUUUUUCUCGUUCAUUAACCUCCCUUUCCAUACAAGCUUGCACGUCUCGUACCUCAAACGUUCUAAUAUAUACCAUAAAAAUGUUAGAUACUUUAAAAUCAAUCAUUCACAGUUAGGGAAAAUGACUCAGGAGAGCAAGUAACUAUUGAGUUUGUUCAUAUUUUGGUCCAUUUCCUUUUUUUGUACCCAAUAUACCAUCGAACUUUUUGUUUGUGUUCAUCAUAACCAUUUUGACCGGCUAUCACUUGUGAUAUCCGGUCAAGAGGUUAUGGUGAACAUAAACAACAAGUUUGAUGGUAUAUUAGGUAUAAAAAAAAUGAACGGGACCAAAUAUGAACAAACUCAAUAGUUACUUACCCUCCUGAGUCAUUUUCCCCAAAAAGUUAAAUGAAAUUAAAGUUGUAAAAGUAUCAAAGGUUGUAACCUUCUUAGGCCAUAACGUACAUGAAGAGCGUUUCGGAGGGGUAGCUUCGUCAAAACAUGGUCUAUGUUAUGCCUUAGCUAUUAACAACUCUAUGUAAAAGGAUAUAAUUGUGUAUGGGAGGUAUCUUUAUCAGCAAAAAUGUUUACCUCACGGUAUAUUAUGGUGAUGUGUCUACAAAAGCUGCAUGAUCAUGUACAUAUUGAUAAUUGUUUGUAUUAUGUGUCUACUUGAUCCUUGAUUGUUUAUAUGUCGGCAUAUGGUGGUGAUUAAGGCUUAGGCGGUCCUGCUGUGUGUUAUAGGCUAACAUACCAGGCGCGGGCCGACUAUAAGUCGUAGACACGGAAGCUCGGUAAGAGCAGUUGGGUUGAGACGGCAGGCCAACAAACGUUGGGUAUUCCAGUCUAAUGGUUGAUUGGACCUGUUGCAUGUUAGCAUUCCAAUCCGAUGACUAAUUGGCUCGUGGGUAUUCCAGUCCGAUGAUUGAGGACCUAGUAUGCAUGCUUGUAUCAUCGGUUAUCGUGGGAAGCCGAAAGAAUGAUUGUACACAUUCAUCAGCAGCAAUGAAGAUUUUGCAAUAUUAUAUUAGUCUGAUUUUAACAAGUGUAAUCUAGAACAAUUAGUUUUCUUAACACGGGUUUUAUAAUGUGGGGUUUUACCUUAAUAAAUUGGAAAAAAUUUGGUUGUGAAAUUGGGACGUUACGGUCUUGCAUAUAA